GUAAUACGUAGGUGGCAAGCGUUAUCCGGAAUUAUUGGGCGUAAAGCGCGCGUAGGCGGUUUUUUAAGUCUGAUGUGAAAGCCCACGGCUCAACCGUGGAGGGUCAUUGGAAACUGUUUAACUUGAGUGCAAGAGGGGAGAGUGGAAUUCCAUGUGUAGCGGUGAAAUGCGUAGAUAUAUGGAGGAACACCGGUGGCGAAGGCGGCUUUCUGGUUUGUAACUGACGCUUAUGUUCGAAAGCGUGGGGAUCAAACAAGAUUAGAU
rnacentral:rRNA from 1 species